AACGUAGGUCCCGAGCGUUAUCCGGAUUUACUGGGCGUAAAGCGUGUUCAGGCGGUCUAGCAAGUCGGGCAUGAAAUCUCUCGGCUCAACCGGGAGGGGUUGUCCGAUACUGCUGGGCUUGAGGGCAGCAGAGGCUAAUGGAAUUCCGGGUGUAGCGGUGGAAUGCGUAGAGAUCCGGAAGAACACCGGUGGCGAAGGCGGUUAGCUGGGCAGUUGCUGACACUGAGGCGCGACAGCGUGGGGAGCAAACAGG
rnacentral:rRNA from 1 species